UACGUAGGGUGCAAGCGUUAAUCGGAAUUACUGGGCGUAAAGCGUGCGCAGGCGGUGAUGUAAGACAGAUGUGAAAUCCCCGGGCUCAACCUGGGAACUGCAUUUGUGACUGCAUCGCUAGAGUACGGCAGAGGGGGAUGGAAUUCCGCGUGUAGCAGUGAAAUGCGUAGAUAUGUGGAGGAAUACCGAUGGCGAAGGCAGCCCCCCUGGGAUAACACUGACGCUCAUGCACGAAAGCGUGGGGAGCAAACAGG
rnacentral:rRNA from 1 species